rnacentral:rRNA from 1 species
GGUGAGUAACACGUGGGUAACCUGCCUGUAAGACUGGGAUAACUCCGGGAAACCGGGGCUAAUACCGGAUGCUUGAUUGAACCGCAUGGUUCAAUUAUAAAAGGUGGCUUUUAGCUACCACUUACAGAUGGACCCGCGGCGCAUUAGCUAGUUGGUGAGGUAACGGCUCACCAAGGCAACGAUGCGUAGCCGACCUGAGAGGGUGAUCGGCCACACUGGGACUGAGACACGGCCCAGACUCCUACGGGAGGCAGCAGUAGGGAAUCUUCCGCAAUGGACGAAAGUCUGACGGAGCAACGCCGCGUGAGUGAUGAAGGUUUUCGGAUCGUAAAACUCUGUUGUUAGGGAAGAACAAGUACCGUUCGAAUAGGGCGGUACCUUGACGGUACCUAACCAGAAAGCCACGGCUAACUACGUGCCAGCAGCCGCGGUAAUACGUAGGUGGCAAGCGUUGUCCGGAAUUAUUGGGCGUAAAGCGCGCGCAGGCGGUUUCUUAAGUCUGAUGUGAAAGCCCCCGGCUCAACCGGGGAGGGUCAUUGGAAACUGGGGAACUUGAGUGCAGAAGAGGAGAGUGGAAUUCCACGUGUAGCGGUGAAAUGCGUAGAGAUGUGGAGGAACACCAGUGGCGAAGGCGACUCUCUGGUCUGUAACUGACGCUGAGGCGCGAAAGCGUGGGGAGCGAACAGGAUUAGAUACCCUGGUAGUCCACGCCGUAAACGAUGAGUGC